rnacentral:rRNA from 1 species
AACGAACGCUGGCGGCAGGCUUAACACAUGCAAGUCGAGCGCCCCGCAAGGGGAGCGGCAGACGGGUGAGUAACGCGUGGGAAUCUACCCAUCUCUACGGAAUAACGCAUGGAAACGUGUGCUAAUACCGUAUACGUCCUUCGGGAGAAAGAUUUAUCGGAGAUGGAUGAGCCCGCGUUGGAUUAGCUAGUUGGUGGGGUAAAGGCCUACCAAGGCGACGAUCCAUAGCUGGUCUGAGAGGAUGAUCAGCCACACUGGGACUGAGACACGGCCCAGACUCCUACGGGAGGCAGCAGUGGGGAAUAUUGGACAAUGGGCGCCAGCCUGAUCCAGCCAUGCCGCGUGAGUGAUGAAGGCCCUAGGGUUGUAAAGCUCUUUCACCGGUGAAGAUAAUGACGGUAACCGGAGAAGAAGCCCCGGCUAACUCCGUGCCAGCCGCCGCAGUAAAAC